GGCUUGGUAGCUCAGUUGGUUAGAGCAGGGGACUCAUAAGCCCAAGGUCGGCGGUUCAAGUCCGCCCCGAGCCA
rnacentral:tRNA from 2 species